UUAAUUUUUAAUUCCAAGAUAGGAAAACACUAAAAAAAAAAACUCUUGAUAAUGAAUAAUUUCCCACAUAGUGAUGAUUACUACCAUACUCUCAUAAAUUAUCCUAAGUAACAUUUUCCAUUUGCAUUCUAAAGCUACAUAGAUCUUUCAACAUAUUCAAUUUAGAAUCAUAGGUUUAGAUCAGAGGUAGAAAUAGCAUUCAGAGUCUAAAGAUA